GGGCGAUUAGCUCAGUUGGGAGAGCACCUCCCUUACAAGGGGAGGGGUCACUGGUUUCGAGACCGGUAUCGCCCA
rnacentral:tRNA from 1 species